AUCGAUGAAGAACGCAGCGAAAUGCGAUAAGUAGUGUGAAUUGCAGAAUUCAGUGAAUCAUCGAAUCUUUGAACGCACAUUGCGCCCCUUGGUAUUCCAUGGGGCAUGCCUGUUCGAGCGUCAUUGACACCCUCAAGCUCUGCUUGGUGUUGGGCG
rnacentral:rRNA from 1 species